ensembl:lncRNA
UUAAGGGGAAGUGUGUGUGGUUAUUACCGCUGGAGUUCCCCUAAGACUUCAGAGGAAAGCACCAGCUCACAAGCAAACCGCUGGGAGGAGUGCGGGACGCGGGGAGCGGGGAGGGGGUGGGGAAGGGGCGGGCCGGGGUGGGGGGUGGGGAAGACGGUUAAAAGGCCGCGGGAGCCUCCGGCCCGCCCCGAACGGCGGGGGCAACGGGUGGCGCCCGCCAGGUCUCGGCCGGCACAUCCCCUCUGGCGCGCACCGGCCGGCGGGGGCAACGGGUGGCGCCCGCCAGGUCUCGGCCGGCACAUCCCCUCUGGCGCGCACCGGCGCGGGGCGGCGGUCGGGCGACCAGAACUGCGGGGAUCUUCCCGAGCUGGGAAUGGAACCCGGGUCUCUGCAUUGCAAGCUGAUUCUUUACAGACUGAGCUAGAGACAAAAGGCACACUUAACCUCCAGUAUCACUUGGAUGUGCUAAGUGUCCAAGAGGAAGACAUAUCCAGUAUCCCUGGCAUCAAGGAGGUUGCCCACUAGAAGUGAAGAGUGAGAAGAGGCGUGACUGGGGAUGAGCCAAUCUGAGAAGUAACCACUAGAAAGGAAAGAGGAAUUCCGAGAGAGAAGCCAAGGAACUAGAACAUUUGUUGGAGGAAGUGGGCCCCAGUGUCAGGUGUGAAAAAUUCCACUGGUUUUGGGAAAGAAGCCAUUGGUGUUACUCAUAUUGAGAGUGGUUUUCCCCAGGCAUAGAAAACAAACUUACCGCUACCAAAAAGGAAGAAGGGCGAGGGAUAAAUUAGGAAGAUCAGAGAAGGCAAUGGCAACCCACUCCAGUACUUUUGCCUGGAAAAUCCCAUGGAUGGAGGGGCCUGGUAGGCUGUAGUCCAUGAGUCACUAGGAGUCGGACAUGACUGAGCGACUUCACUUUCACUUUUCACUUUUAUGCACUGGAGAAGGAAAUGGCAACCCACUCCAGUGUUCUUGCCUGGAGAAUCCCAGGGACGGAGGAGCCUGGUGGCCUGCUGUCUGUGGGGUUGCACAGAGUCAGAUACAACUGAAGCGACUUAGCAGCAGCAGCAGCAGGGUUGACAUAUACACACUACUCUCUCUCUAUAUAUAAAAUCAACAAGGACCUCCUGUAUAGCACAGGAAACUAUACUCAUUAUUUGUACUAAACUAUAAAGGAAAAGAAUCUCUGUAUCAGAGUGCCAAAUGGGAGUGCAUGUACCCUCCCAAAAGGGUGCAGCCAUGGCUUAGCACUAGCUUAUUGUUGCCAUCCAGAAAUAUAUUCCUGGCAUAGUGACAUCUUUUGAUAUUUUUAUGAGAGCAUUGGGAUCUACAAUGUCAUGGGAAAUCUCUUACUUUUUUUUUUUGGCCCCUCCACUUAACAUCAGGAUCUUAAUUCCCUUGUCCCAUUUAGUGAAAGUGUGGAGUCUUGACCACUGGGGAAGUCUGGAAAUCUCUUACUUACAAAAAGUGUUGGUAAUUAACUAAAACAUUGAAAAAUACAGUGAUAUUUUUCCAGGAAAAAUCUUACUUGGAAGGCUGGUGGAAUUCAAAUGAGGCAUACAGAUUAAUUAAUAGCACUGUUUCAGUGUUAAUUUCCUGGUUUCUGUAGUUAUACUAUGGUUAUAUAAGAUGCUAAUUUGGAGGAAGUUGAGUAUAGGAUGUGUGAAAAUUCUUAUGUUUAUGAAUUUUCUCUCUUUAUAAGUUAAUUUAAAAAUAAAAAGUUUAAAAAAUUAGUGAAAUGCUGGAGUCUAAUUCUGUGCAAGCCAAACAUAAUACCUCUGCUGGCCACCAAUCUGAGGCCUCUGGUUUUCGUCUGGGAUUUUUUGGCCUCUACAGUGGCUAGUACACCAACUUGUAUAUGGUAGACAUUCAGUAAAUACUAGUGCUCUGUUUUGGAAAAAUGUUUACAAAGUGAUUAUAGUGUAACAUCUAUGAAUUAUUUGACUUUUAAAACUGUCUUUUUUUUUUUUUAAACAGGUUUUACAAAAGAGAGGAACUGUUCUACUUCUAAAUUUUUUUCCAGUUUUUUCUAUAAAGCAAAACAUCUGAAAAUGGAGGCCUAAAACUCUUAAAAGGGACUUAGUCUGAUCUGAGGGAGGUAGUUUUGUGCAUGAAUAAACAAAGUAGAUAACUGGAGUUUUUUGUAUCCAAAGAAUGUUAAUUUAAAUAAUAUGAUCUAGUUAUGAGAGGUAUAAUUACACAGUAAUAAUAGGUUUGAUUCUGAAUUUGACUUGUGGAUAUAAAGAAAUGAUUGUAGUCGAGACAUAUUGUUGAAAUACUUUUUUUCAGAGUUGGCCAGGCAGUUUCCUACUGGCUGCUGUGUAGAAUAGAAAAAAAUUGUACCUGUAUUUGGUAAAGAUUUAAAAAUGAAUGACAGUUAUCUAGAACAAAUAAUUAAUAUUCAGCCUUCUGCUAAGUUAGAGAAAUAUGCAUAUAAAACCUUUGGCAUGUUAAAAGAUUUCUGUAGUGACAAAGAAAUGUCAAAACCAAAACUUUUUGAUAGGUACAACAAAAUAAGAGUAAGUAUGAAAGAUAAACGUGAUGAUUGGUAAAGAAAUUAACCAUUUCUAAGCCUAUUGAUAUUUUGAAAGUCAAAAAUGUAGUUUGUUCAAAUGGGUUGUUAUCUCUGAGAAUAAUUAGAAUUAGAAUGAUGGGUGGAUGGUUACUUUUUGGUAAAUGAACAAACUUCAGAAAGAAACACAGAGAUAGUCGUAACACCACAUAGAGACAAUAAUAACACCAAGAGUUUUAUAUUUUAAAAUAACACAAAUAAUAUUACACAUUUUAUAACAAUGUAUAAAAUUAUUGACUAAUAAAAGGAAUACUGAAGUUAAACAAAAUAAUUCACCUUUGAGGGAAAUAAUCACUAAUAUUUCUGAUGCCACCUGGAAAGAAAGCAUUGAAGUCUGUAGUAAAAAGCCUCAAUAUAUAUGAGACCCAGGAAACAUGCUUGCAAAUCACUUCUGGAAGAACCAUGAUGACUUGUUUAUUGGUCAUUACUGAUACUAUUGAUGUAGACCUGCCUACUGGUAGAUAGUUUUAAUUGAGAAAUUCUGGAUUUUGAGGUCUCUGUUGUUCAAAAGAAGUGGAUUGUGACAAAGUAAAUUUAUUAUGUUUUGUCAAGAUAAAUUCUGGUUCAAGGUAUACUAUCUGUGAAAUAGUUUCUGACCAAAACCAAAUUUUUUUAAUCCAUCUGUUUUUUGUUUGCUUGUUUAAAAUUUAUUAUCCAUCUUAGCUUGGAGACUCAGCACUCUGACUUUUGACUGUUUUUAAAAAUAAAUUCACUAUCAGGAGAUUUGAUGUUGGCUUUCAACAGCAUGGAGCUGAGCCUAAAAGAUCAAAUGAGCAAAUAUACCCAUCUCUGAUAGUUUAUUUGAAAUGGAAUGUUUAAUUUGCUAAGAUCUAGAGGCAUCACUAUGACUCAGCAGUCAGGUACCUAUCUAUGGAAGUAAUUAUUAUUUAAUAAAUCUUGAAACCAGGUCUUAAGAUCUGUGAGCCAAUUCUGUUACUACUUAAGUUCUUCAUCUGGAAGAAAAUUUUGGAUUUUUUCUUCUCCCCAUUAAAAUGGUUGUAGGAAGAAAAAUUAAUUAAUUUGAGCAAGAUUUAGGAUAUACUAUAUUUCACUGAAUCUAAGAUGUCAUCAUUUGUAAAGCACGCCAUUAUUUUAUGUACCUCCUAGAAAUAAAAAUCCUGUUAAUUAAAAUGUGAUAUGCCAUUGAUUGUAAGAUACCUCUCCAUAACAGAGAUAUUGAAACAUGUGCCUUAGAGUCAGUGAAAUAUAAUAAUCCAUUCUUUUCUCCUUUUGAGGUAGGUUUUACACUUUCUUUUCCCUGGCUCCAAAAUUUCACAAUUUAAAAAAAUCAGAAUAAGUAUAGUUUGAAUAUUCUUGUGUAUAUGGGACACUUAUGCAGGAUAGCUUUCUGCCAAAACAAACUAUGUGAGACAUUUUAUCUUCAGGCUGACCGAAUGUCAAUGAAGCAUAUUAGUGGAGAGGGUGACCUACUUGUGGAGACACCUGACACAAAAUGGCGUCUUGAUGACCUAACGCAUUCUACAUUUUUAUGAAGGUUUUAAUUUUCAUCACAAGGUACUGUGUAGCAUCAUGUUUACAUUGUAUAUAUCAAGAGUAUGCAGAGGUACAAGUUGUACAUAAUUGUCCCUUAAAAUGUAUCAGUAUAGGAUUUAGAAUCUUGCCAUGCUGUAAUCCUAAAUGCAUAGAAGAAAAAAGAAUGAAAGAUUUCCUGUUCUAAGUGUUCAACCUAGUACUAAAAUUAAUAAAAAUCAAAAGCCAUGCACAAAACUACCUCCCCAGAGAAAGACUAGUCCCUUU